AGCAACUGUUUGCUCCCUUUUCCUGGUCGCUCUGACCCUCUCUGGAUACUGGGGUGAUCCACGGAAAAACCGAAGACGACGUUUGGGAUUUAAUUAUUCCUCUCAGCUUUGGAAUCUUUUACUUCUCACUUGGACAAGAACUCAAGAGCAGAAUCUCCGUGUUGCAAUCUGGUUCCUAAGGAGGAAGAGGAAGGCAGCCCUGGAGUGGUUUCUUUACAGUAAUUUCAACAGAAGAGUGAGAGAUGGAACCCGAAGAAGAAAGGAUUCGUUACAGCCAGAGAUUGUAGAGAUGGGGUUGGCUGGUCUUGAACUCGUGACCUCAGGUGAUCCUCCCACCUCCGCCUCCCAAGGUGUUGGGAUUACAGCCGUGAGCCACUGCAUCUGGCCUGUCUGUUCAUUUCAUAAACAUCUGAGAGGGUCUUUGCUACAGGACUUUAGGAGCACUAGCAUCGAUGGUGGCAGAUGAAAAAGCAGAUUUUUUUCCCCUGAAGCUCUUUAAUAAUGGCAAAAGUUAAAAAGUGUUUUCUCUGUAGUCCUGAAUUUACUGAAUGUAUUCCCUUCCUGAAUAAAUUGACUGUUCCCUUAGUGUAGGGCUAUAACCUGGU
rnacentral:sRNA from 1 species